GCUACUGCAAGUCGAACGGAAAGGCUCUUCGGAGACACUCGAGUGGCGAACGGGUGAGUAACACGUGGGUAAUCUGCCCUGCACUUCGGGAUAAGCCUGGGAAACUGGGUCUAAUACCGGAUAGGACCCCGAGGCGCAUGCCUUGGGGUGGAAAGCUUUUGCGGUGUGGGAUGGGCCCGCGGCCUAUCAGCUUGUUGGUGGGGUGACGGCCUACCAAGGCGACGACGGGUAGCCGGCCUGAGAGGGUGUCCGGCCACACUGGGACUGAGAUACGGCCCAGACUCCUACGGGAGGCAGCAGUGGGGAAUAUUGCACAAUGGGCGCAAGCCUGAUGCAGCGACGCCGCGUGGGGGAUGACGGCCUUCGGGUUGUAAACCUCUUUCACCAUCGACGAAGGUCCGGGUUUUCUCGGAUUGACGGUAGGUGGAGAAGAAGCACCGGCCAACUACGUGCCAGCAGCCGCGGUAAUACGUAGGGUGCGAGCGUUGUCCGGAAUUACUGGGCGUAAAGAGCUCGUAGGUGGUUUGUCGCGUUGUUCGUGAAAUCUCACGGCUUAACUGUGAGCGUGCGGGCGAUACGGGCAGACUGGAGUACUGCAGGGGAGACUGGAAUUCCUGGUGUAGCGGUGGAAUGCGCAGAUAUCAGGAGGAACACCGGUGGCGAAGGCGGGUCUCUGGGCAGUAACUGACGCUGAGGAGCGAAAGCGUGGGGAGCGAACAGGAUUAGAUACCCUGGUAGUCCACGCCGUAAACGGUGGGUACUAGGUGUGGGUUUCCUUCCUUGGAAUCCGUGCCGUAGCUAACGCAUUAAGUACCCCGCCUGGGGAGUACGGCCGCAAGGCUAAAACUCAAAGGAAUUGACGGGGGCCCGCACAAGCGGCGGAGCAUGUGGAUUAAUUCGAUGCAACGCGAAGAACCUUACCUGGGUUUGACAUGCACAGGACGCCGGCAGAGAUGUCGGUUCCCUUGUGGCCUGUGUGCAGGUGGUGCAUGGCUGUCGUCAGCUCGUGUCGUGAGAUGUUGGGUUAAGUCCCGCAACGAGCGCAACCCUUAUUUCAUGUUGCCAGCGGGUAAUGCCGGGGACUCGUGAGAGACUGCCGGGGUCAACUCGGAGGAAGGUGGGGAUGACGUCAAGUCAUCAUGCCCCUUAUGUCCAGGGCUUCACACAUGCUACAAUGGCCGGUACAAAGGGCUGCGAUGCCGCAAGGUUAAGCGAAUCCUUUUAAAGCCGGUCUCAGUUCGGAUCGGGGUCUGCAACUCGACCCCGUGAAGUCGGAGUCGCUAGUAAUCGCAGAUCAGCAACGCUGCGGUGAAUACGUUCCCGGGCCUUGUACACACCGCCCGUCACGUCAUGAAAGUCGGUAACACCCGAAGCCAGUGGCCUAACCCUUGGGAGGGAGCCGA
rnacentral:rRNA from 1 species